AUCCUACGGGGGGCAGCAGUGAGGAAUAUUGGUCAAUGGGCGAGAGCCUGAACCAGCCAAGUCGCGUGAGGGAAGACGGUCCUAUGGAUUGUAAACCUCUUUUGUCGGGGAGCAAAAAGGCCUCGUGAGGCCACAAGUGAGAGUACCCGAAGAAAAAGCAUCGGCUAACUCCGUGCCAGCAGCCGCGGUAAUACGGAGGAUGCGAGCGUUAUCCGGAUUUAUUGGGUUUAAAGGGUGCGCAGGCGGAAUGUCAAGUCAGCGGUAAAAUUUCGGGGCUCAACCCCGUCGUGCCGUUGAAACUGGCG
rnacentral:rRNA from 1 species